CGAGGCUAGGCUUGGAGGUGGAACUCCGGGUUCUCUGAUGUCAUCGCCCGGAGCUGCGAGGCGCAAGGAUCUUUAAAAUGAAGCUUCGUUCGCUUGCAGAUAAAUUUGUUUGCAAACCGUCUCACAGUCGAACAUCCUUUCUAUGUGAAGAUGGUGCAGGAGACAAUGUCCUGAGGUAGGACAUACCGUUCUCAGAGUUGGAUAAACUGACGAAGGUGAGCACACCUUGCAAACUGCAUGGAAUGUUCCAGUGCUGGCUCUCAGAUUUCCUCCUCAGCUGCCUUUCCUCCCAGGUACAUCUGCUGAACGAUGAAUGCCACAAACUCGCUUUAUGGAUGGAGUUAAACAGGAGGAACAAUUCCAGAAGUCAAGCCCUUACAAGAAAUCAGAACUAAAAUAAACAAGAAUAAACAUGAACAGUACGCUCUCUGAA